UACGUAGGUGGCAAGCGUUGUCCGGAAUUAUUGGGCGUAAAGCGCGCGCAGGUGGUUUCUUAAGUCUGAUGUGAAAGCCCACGGCUCAACCGUGGAGGGUCAUUGGAAACUGGGGAACUUGAGUGCAGGAGAGAAGAGUGGAAUUCCACGUGUAGCGGUGAAAUUCGUAGAUAUCGGGUAGAACACCAGUGGCGAAGGCGGCUAUCUGGACGGACACUGACGCUGAGACGCGAAAGCUAGGGGAGCGAACAGG
rnacentral:rRNA from 1 species